rnacentral:rRNA from 1 species
AACGAACGCUGGCGGCAUGCCUAACACAUGCAAGUCGAACGAGACCUUCGGGUCUAGUGGCGCACGGGUGCGUAACGCGUGGGAACCUGCCCUUAGGUUCGGAAUAACUCCCCGAAAGGGGUGCUAAUACCGGAUAAUGUCUUCGGACCAAAGAUUUAUCGCCUUUGGAUGGGCCCGCGUUGGAUUAGCUAGUUGGUAGGGUAAAAGCCUACCAAGGCGACGAUCCAUAGCUGGUCUGAGAGGAUGAUCAGCCACACUGGGACUGAGACACGGCCCAGACUCCGACGGGAGGAAGCAGUGGGGAAUAUUGGAGAAGGGGUGAGAGUCUGAUCCAGCAAUGCCGCGGGAGUGAGGAAGGCCUAAGGGUUGUAAAGCUCUUUUACCCGGGAUGAUAAUGACAGUACCGGGAGAAUAAGCUCCGGCUAACUCCGUG